AUUGAACGCCGGCGGCAUGCCUUACACAUGCAAGUCGAACGGCAGCACGGGAGCAAUCCUGGUGGCGAGUGGCGAACGGGUGAGUAAAGUAUCGGAACGUGCCCAGUCGUGGGGGAUAACGUAGCGAAAGUUACGCUAAUACCGCAUACGAUCUAUGGAUGAAAGCGGGGGAUCGCAAGACCGCGCGCGAUUGGAGCGGCGGAUAUCAGAUUAGGGAGUUGGUGGGGUAGAGGCUCACCAAGCCGACGAUCUGUAGCUGGUCUGAGAGGACGACCAGCCACACUGGGACUGAGACACGGCCCAGACUCCUACGGGAGGCAGCAGUGGGGAAUUUUGGACAAUGGGCGAAAGCCUGAUCCAGCCAUGCCGCGUGCAGGAUGAAGGCCUUCGGGUUGUAAACUGCUUUUGUACGGAACGAAAAGGUUUGGCCUAAUAAGCUGAGCUCAUGACGGUACCGUAAGAAUAAGCACCGGCUAACUACGUGCCAGCAGCCGCAGUAA
rnacentral:rRNA from 1 species